UGUCUAUAAAAUAGAUAUUGAUAAACCGGAUAUAGUUCUGGAAACUAGACAUCUGUAGCUUUCCAACCAUAUAAAAUUCAUAAUCUGGUUCGUUCUGGUCUGUUGCCAGUACUCUGUCAAAGUUGACAGAUUUACACAGUCAAAUUCUGGUUUUGUACUUACUGCGUUUUGUGGUGAUUUUCAAAGAUUCAAACACUUUAGUUGAUCCCGAAGCAGUAUAUGAAUGACUUUGCUAGUAGUUAUUUCAUCUAUAAUCGUUUGGGUAGCUCUUUUCACUCAUAACCAGGCUAGGAGAAAUCGAUGUAGGUGGGGCAUAACCCGCUCAAGUACACUGUUAUCGAAAGUCUCUUUUUCUAGACAUUAUGAGCUACUAAGGUGGCCCUAGUAGACAAUAUGACACGACCCACCCCGAAUUUCACACUGAAACCCGGAGUAAGUCGUGCGGGGACCACCUCCAAGGAAAAUUUACUGAAAAGAUUAAGAAAAUCUCCCUUGCAGAUGAACAACCCUAACUCGAAAAUUCCAAAUUACACUCUUAAUUUAGCACUUCCAAACAUCACAUAAUAUACAAUAAUCCCAAAGUAUUCAGAGCUACUAAACACUAGCGGAAGCAAGAAAACACGAGUAAGUUGAACAGGUAACCUACUGACGAAAACUGACAGAAAUGCGGGUGACUAUGCCUCGCCUCCUACUAGAUCCAACCCGAACUCUGCAGACUGGGCAAUUUAAAACGAAGGGCCAAGGGGAAAACAUUUAACAACGUUAGAGUGAGUGGACAAAAAUAAAAUAAUAAAUAAAAUAUUUAUGUUUCCCCAAAUUAAUAUCUAAGGAAAAAUCGAAUGCAUACCGCAAGCGAUAAAACUUUUAUCCCAUAAAAUAUCGAGCCUCUCAGACUCUAUAAUAUAUGUAUGUAUUUACACUCGUCCAUACUCCCUAUAUAAAUUCAUGGGUCUAUAUAGGGCUACUACGCUCGCGUCCAACGCUCACGUCACGCCUUAAUGCGGUGCUACACUACGCCAUCAAGGUGGACAGACGGGUGUAUAAAUAUGUGUCCAUACCCCCUAUAUGAAUUAAACACUCAAAUAGGGCUACUACGCUUACGUCCAACGCUCACGUCACACCAUAAUGCGGCUAUAUGCUACGCCAUUAAGU
rnacentral:lncRNA from 1 species